AACGAACGCUGGCGGCAGGCUUAACACAUGCAAGUCGAGCGCCUCGCAAGAGGAGCGGCAGACGGGUGAGUAACACGUGGGAACGUACCCUUUACUACGGAACAACUCCGGGAAACUGGAGCUAAUACCGUAUACGCCCUUAGGGGGAAAGAUUUAUCGGUAAAGGAUCGGCCCGCGUUGGAUUAGCUAGUUGGUGGGGUAAAGGCCUACCAAGGCGACGAUCCAUAGCUGGUCUGAGAGGAUGAUCAGCCACAUUGGGACUGAGACACGGCCCAAACUCCUACGGGAGGCAGCAGUGGGGAAUAUUGGACAAUGGGCGCAAGCCUGAUCCAGCCAUGCCGCGUGAGUGAUGAAGGCCUUAGGGUUGUAAAGCUCUUUCACCGAUGAAGAUAAUGACGGUAGUCGGAGAAGAAGCCCCGGCUAACUUCGUGCCAGCCGCCGCAGUAACAC
rnacentral:rRNA from 1 species